rnacentral:rRNA from 1 species
GUUUGAUCCUGGCUCAGGAUGAACGCUAGCGGCAGGCUUAACACAUGCAAGUCGAGGGGUAUAGUUCUUCGGAAUUAGAGACCGGCGCACGGGUGCGUAACGCGUAUGCAAUCUACCUUUCACAGAGGGAUAGCCCAGAGAAAUUUGGAUUAAUACCUCAUAGUAUGCAGAGUUGGCAUCAACCCUGCAUUAAAGUCACAACGGUGAAAGAUGAGCAUGCGUCCCAUUAGCUAGUUGGUAAGGUAACGGCUUACCAAGGCUACGAUGGGUAGGGGUCCUGAGAGGGAGAUCCCCCACACUGGUACUGAGACACGGACCAGACUCCUACGGGAGGCAGCAGUGAGGAAUAUUGGACAAUGGGCGCAAGCCUGAUCCAGCCAUGCCGCGUGCAGGAUGACGGUCCUAUGGAUUGUAAACUGCUUUUGCACAGGAAGAAACGACAUUACGUGUAAUGUCUUGACGGUACUGUGAGAAUAAGGAUCGGCUAACUCCGUGCCAGCAGCCGCGGUAAUACGGAGGAUCCAAGCGUUAUCCGGAAUCAUUGGGUUUAAAGGGUCCGUAGGCGGUUUGGUAAGUCAGUGGUGAAAGCCCAUCGCUCAACGGUGGAACGGCCAUUGAUACUGCCAGACUUGAAUUAUUAGGAAGUAACUAGAAUAUGUAGUGUAGCGGUGAAAUGCUUAGAGAUUACAUGGAAUACCAAUUGCGAAGGCAGGUUACUACUAAUGGAUUGACGCUGAUGGACGAAAGCGUGGGUAGCGAACAGGAUUAGAUACCCUGGUAGUCCACGCCGUAAACGAUGGAUACUAGCUGUUGGGAGCGAUCUCAGUGGCUAAGCGAAAGUGAUAAGUAUCCCACCUGGGGAGUACGUUCGCAAGAAUGAAACUCAAAGGAAUUGACG